rnacentral:lncRNA from 1 species
UAUUUUUUAUAUAAAAAAGGGGAAAGGUUUUCUUAGCACAAGGCCUACGCGAACGGUCGCACGUGUGCUUUAAACCCUUUGAAAUAAUUUUGUUAAUUUUUGAAAGAAGAAAAAGUUUUCAGCGUAAGACUGACAGAAUGGUCGCACAUGUGCUUAAACCUUUAAAAUGAAAUUUUGUUGAUUUUUAAAAAGAAGAAGAAAAAGUUUUCAGCGCAAGGCUGACAGAAUGGUCCCACCUAUG